rnacentral:pre_miRNA from 1 species
GCUAUGGGCAUGAUCCAGAGCGCACUGAAGUGAAUGAGAGUCUUUCCAUUUAUUUCAGUGGGCUUUGGAUCAGGCUCCCUGGC